rnacentral:rRNA from 1 species
CGCGCAGGCGGUCUUGUCCGUCAGGUGUGAAAGCUCGGGGCUCAACCCCGGAAAUGCACUUGAAACAGCAAGACUUGAAUACGGGAGAGGAAAGCGGAAUUCCUGGUGUAGAGGUGAAAUUCGUAGAUAUCAGGAGGAACACCGAUGGCGAAGGCAGCUUUCUGGACCGAUAUUGACGCUGAGGCGCGAAGGCGUGGGUAGCGAACAGGAUUAGAUACCCUGGUAGUCC